GACGAACGCUGGCGGCGUGCCUAAUACAUGCAAGUUGAGCGAUGAAGAUUGGUGCUUGCACCAAUUUGAAGAGCAGCGAACGGGUGAGUAACGCGUGGGGAAUCUGCCUUUGAGCGGGGGACAACAUUUGGAAACGAAUGCUAAUACCGCAUAACAACUUUAAACAUAAGUUUUAAGUUUGAAAGAUGCAAUUGCAUCACUCAAAGAUGAUCCCGCGUUGUAUUAGCUAGUUGGUGAGGUAAAGGCUCACCAAGGCGAUGAUACAUAGCCGACCUGAGAGGGUGAUCGGCCACAUUGGGACUGAGACACGGCCCAAACUCCUACGGGAGGCAGCAGUAGGGAAUCUUCGGCAAUGGACGAAAGUCUGACCGAGCAACGCCGCGUGAGUGAAGAAGGUUUUCGGAUCGUAAAACUCUGUUGGUAGAGAAGAACGUUGGUGAGAGUGGAAAGCUCAUCAAGUGACGGUAACUACCCAGGAAGGGACGGCUAACUACGUG
rnacentral:rRNA from 1 species